rnacentral:rRNA from 1 species
AUUUUUUCGCAAUGGGCGAAAGCCUGACGGAGCAAUACCGCGUGGGGGAAGAAGGUUUUUGGAUUGUAAACCCCUUUUCUCAGGGAAGAAGAUCUGACGGUACCUGAGGAAUAAGCAUCGGCUAACUCCGUGCCAGCAGCCGCGGUAAGACGGAGGAUGCAAGCGUUAUCCGGAAUUAUUGGGCGUAAAGCGUCCGUAGGUGGCAAUUCAAGUCUGCUUUUAAAGCGUGCAGCUCAACUGCAUAGAGGGAGUAGAAACUGAAUAGCUAGAGUGCGGUAGGGGCAGAGGGAAUUCCCAGUGUAGCGGUGAAAUGCGUAGAUAUUGGGAAGAACACCAGUGGCGAAAGCGCUCUGCUGGGCCUGCACUGACA